rnacentral:rRNA from 1 species
UGGGGAAUCUUGCGCAAUGGGCGAAAGCCUGACGCAGCGACGCCGCGUGGGUGAUGAAGGCCUUCGGGUUGUAAAGCCCUGUGGAGGGGGACGAAUAAGUGCAGCCUAAUACGCUGAACGAUGACGGUACCCUUUUAGCAAGCACCGGCUAACUCUGUGCCAGCAGCCGCGGUAAGACAGAGGGUGCAAACGUUGUUCGGAAUUACUGGGCGUAAAGCGCGUGUAGGCGGCUUGGCAAGUCGGGUGUGAAAGCCCUGGGCUCAACCUAGGAAGUGCACUCGAAACUGCCUCGCUGGAAUGCCGGAGAGGAAAGCGGAAUUCUCGGUGUAGAGGUGAAAUUCGUAGAUAUCGAGAGGAACACCGGUGGCGAAGGCGGCUUUCUGGACGGUUAUUGACGCUGAGACGCGAAAGCGUGGGGAGCAAACAGGAUUAGAUACCCCCGUAGUCC